GCAAGUCGAGGGGUAACAGGAUAGCUUGCUACAGAUGACGACCGGCGCACGGGUGCGUAACGCGUAUAGAACCUACCUUUUACAGAGGGAUAGCCUUUAGAAAUGAAGAUUAAUACCUCAUAGUUCCUAAGAUUCUCAUGAGUUUUAGGAUAAAGAUUUAUCGGUAAAAGAUGGCUAUGCGUCCUAUUAGCUAGAUGGUAAGGUAAUGGCUUACCAUGGCAAUGAUAGGUAGGGGUCCUGAGAGGGAGAUC
rnacentral:rRNA from 1 species